rnacentral:rRNA from 1 species
GAUCCUGGCUCAGGAUGAACGCUAGCUACAGGCUUAACACAUGCAAGUCGAGGGGCAGCAUGGUCUUAGCUUGCUAAGACUGAUGGCUACCGGCGCACGGGUGAGUAACACGUAUCCAACCUGCCGUCUACUCUUGGGCAGCCUUCUGAAAGGAAGAUUAAUACAAGAUGGCAUCAUGAGUCCGCAUGUUCACAUGAUUAAAGGUAUUCCGGUGGACGAUGGGG